rnacentral:rRNA from 1 species
GAAAGUCGGACUAAUACCGUAUGAUAUCCUAUGCAGGCAUCUAACUAGGAUUAAAGGUUUAGCGGUAAGGGAUGGGGAUGCGUCUGAUUAGGCAGUUGGCGGGGUAACGGCCCACCAAACCGACGAUCAGUAGGGGUUCUGAGAGGAAGGUCCCCCACAUUGGAACUGAGACACGGUCCAAACUCCUACGGGAGGCAGCAGCC